rnacentral:rRNA from 1 species
GACGAACGCUGGCGGCGUGCCUAAUACAUGCAAGUCGAACGCAGUGGGGACGGGUGAGUAACACGUGGGUAACCUCCCCUCAGAGGGGAUAACACUUGGAAACAGGUGCUAAACCGAUACUGAUGGCUGGGCCCGCGGUGCAUUAGCAAGUUGGUGAGGUAACGGCUCACCAAGGCCACGAUGCAUAGCCGGCCUGAGAGGUGUAUCGGCCACACUGGGACUGAGACACGGCCCAGACUCCUACGGGAGGCAGCAGUAGGGAAUCUUGGGCAAUGGACGAAAGUCUGACCGAGCAACGCCGCGUGAGUGAAGAAGGUUUUCGGAUCGUAAAACACGGUUGGUAGAGAAGCGGUAUCUAACCAGAAAGCCACGGCUAACUACGUGCCAGCAGCCGCGGUAAUAC